GGGUUGUGAGGUUAAGCGACCAAGCGUACACGGUGGAUGCCCUGGCAGUCAGAGGCGAUGAAGGGCGUGCUAAUCUGCGAUAAGCGCCGGUAAGGUGAUAUGAACCGUUAUAACCGGCGAUACCCGAAUGGGGAAACCCAGUGUGAUUCGUCACACUAUCAUUAACUGAAUCCAUAGGUUAAUGAGGCGAACCGGGGGAACUGAAACAUCUAAGUACCCCGAGGAAAAGAAAUCAACCGAGAUUCCCCCAGUAGCGGCGAGCGAACGGGGAGGAGCCCAGAGCCUGAAUCAGCAUGUGUGUUAGUGGAAGCGUCUGGAAAGGCGCGCGAUACAGGGUGACAGCCCCGUACACAAAAGCGCAUGUGCUGUGAGCUCGAUGAGUAGGGCGGGACACGUGGUAUCCUGUCUGAAUAUGGGGGGACCAUCCUCCAAGGCUAAAUACUCCUGACUGACCGAUAGUGAACCAGUACCGUGAGGGAAAGGCGAAAAGAACCCCGGCGAGGGGAGUGAAAAAGAACCUGAAACCGUGUACGUACAAGCAGUGGGAGCCCCACCACUAAGCCAGUGGUGAACUCCACAUACGCAUCCUUUGCUGAGGAUACGGUUAACGGAGCGAAAGCGACGUUCAACCGCAAAAGAAGCAGAGGGGGCUUAGUGGUGGGGUGACUGCGUACCUUUUGUAUAAUGGGUCAGCGACUUAUAUUCUGUAGCAAGGUUAACCGCAUAGGGGAGCCGCAGGGAAACCGAGUCUUAAUUGGGCGUUAAGUUGCAGGGUAUAGACCCGAAACCCGGUGAUCUAGCCAUGGGCAGGUUGAAGGUUGGGUAACACUAACUGGAGGACCGAACCGACUAAUGUUGAAAAAUUAGCGGAUGACCUGUGGCUGGGGGUGAAAGGCCAAUCAAACCGGGAGAUAGCUGGUUCUCCCCGAAAGCUAUUUAGGUAGCGCCUCGUGAAUUCAUCUCCGGGGGUAGAGCACUGUUUCGGCUAGGGGGCCAUCCCGGCUUACCAACCCGAUGCAAACUGCGAAUACCGGAGAAUGUUAUCACGGGAGACACACGGCGGGUGCUAACGUCCGUCGUGAAGAGGGAAACAACCCAGACCGCCAGCUAAGGUCCCAAAGUCAUGGUUAAGUGGGAAACGAUGUGGGAAGGCCCAGACAGCCAGGAUGUUGGCUUAGAAGCAGCCAUCAUUUAAAGAAAGCGUAAUAGCUCACUGGUCGAGUCGGCCUGCGCGGAAGAUGUAACGGGGCUAAACCAUGCACCGAAGCUGCGGCAGCGACGCUGAUGCGUUGUUGGGUAGGGGAGCGUUCUGUAAGCCUGCGAAGGUGGCCUGUGAGGGUUGCUGGAGGUAUCAGAAGUGCGAAUGCUGACAUAAGUAACGAUAAAGCGGGUGAAAAGCCCGCUCGCCGGAAGACCAA
rnacentral:rRNA from 1 species